rnacentral:rRNA from 1 species
GACGAACGCUGGCGGCGUGCUUAACACAUGCAAGUCGAACGGUGACGAGGAGCUUGCUCCUCCGAUCAGUGGCGAACGGGUGAGUAACACGUGAGCAACCUGCCCCAGACUCUGGGAUAACAGUUGGAAACAGCUGCUAAUACCGGAUACGAGACGGAGAGGCAUCUCUACCGUCUGGAAAGUUUUUCGGUCUGGGAUGGACUCGCGGCCUAUCAGCUAGUUGGUGAGGUAAUGGCUCACCAAGGCGACGACGGGUAGCCGGCCUGAGAGGGCGACCGGCCACACUGGGACUGAGACACGGCCCAGACUCCUACGGGAGGCAGCAGUGGGGAAUAUUGCACAAUGGGCGAAAGCCUGAUGCAGCGACGCCGCGUGAGGGAUGACGGCCU